GACGAACGCUGGCGGCGUGCUUAACACAUGCAAGUCGAACGGAAAGGCCCUGCUUUUGUGGGGUGCUCGAGUGGCGAACGGGUGAGUAACACGUGAGUAACCUGCCCUUGACUUUGGGAUAACUUCAGGAAACUGGGGCUAAUACCGGAUAGGAGCUCCUGCUGCAUGGUGGGGGUUGGAAAGUUUCGGCGGUUGGGGAUGGACUCGCGGCUUAUCAGCUUGUUGGUGGGGUAGUGGCUUACCAAGGCUUUGACGGGUAGCCGGCCUGAGAGGGUGACCGGCCACAUUGGGACUGAGAUACGGCCCAGACUCCUACGGAGGCAGCAGUGGGGAAUAUUGCACAAUGGGCGGGAGCCUGAUGCAGCAACGCCGCGUGCGGGAUGACGGCCUUCGGGUUGUAAACCGCUUUCGCCUGUGACGAAGCGUGAGUGACGGUAAUGGGUAAAGAAGCACCGGCUAACUACGUG
rnacentral:rRNA from 1 species